GAUGCGGGUUUUUGUGAUUGAUGACCUUGAGCAAGACGUGCCCUUCCAGCCCUCAGUUUCCCCACCCACACUGGCGCCUGCAAAGCUCCACCCUGAAAAAGGUUUCCCUCUGGCUCCUGUCCCAAGCAGCCCCAUUUGCACAAGGGGGUGUCACCCAAGCCACACGGGUGGUGGUGCCAGCAUCAGAAAAGGGAGCCAUCUUGGCCAAAGUCCUGUGGCAAGAGAGUCACAGAGGAGGGAACGGGGCUUGGGGCUACAGUCCCCAGAAACCUGGCCUUCCCACUGUCCUGAGGACAGUCAAGAAGGAAGCUCGAGCUGCACCUGGUGCUGCUGAAGAAUGGGAUCCCAGCAAAAGGAAUGUGGUGGAAAGGAUUUCAUCACCAGACACACAAGGGAUCAGGAGCUUUCCGAGACCCAAUUUUCAGAACACCCCGCCUCUCCACCCAAAAAAAAAAACGGCGUAAGAAAUCAAGGAAGUAGUGAAGGACCGCUGCCUGGCCUCCAAACUUUCCCACCUGCCUUUUGAGUUUUGUGGGCUGUAGCCAAGCCCACAACGAGGACUGUGAAGGCAAUAAUAAUAAGAACCAUUGCAUCCGUUGGGGGCAGAGCUACCGUUCAGCCGGAAUGCUCUGCUGAGGCCCUAGGGUCAUUAAACCCCGUGAACUGUGUCCCCACCAGUUGCUAAGGAGCCUCUCGGUCCCCAAACGUCCUGAGCACACCCCUAGGGGCCCACCUGCCUGGGUUAUAACGCCACAUCCCAUUCUCUGCCCAGAAGGCCUGCCUCUGAGCAUCCUCGCGUCUAGUUCACCUGCAGGAAUAUCAUCCUGAAGGGAGAUGCCCUGCCCCCUGGGGCGGCACCCCCUCUGCCAGGGCCCGUUCCCAAAGCCUGAGCAAUCAAGGCCUGCUCCCUCCCUGGGCUGGUGCAAGUGCCCGCCUCCUCCGGGCGCCUCUCCGGCUGCAAACCCAGCUCAUUUGCAUGUGGAUCGCGCCUGCCACCAUGGGUGCUGGGGUCAAUUGAAACUCAAGAAAAGAGAAGAAAUUUAUGCAAAACUGUUGAUUGCAUUUGUAUGUAAUGAAAUCAUCCAAUAUUCAUCUGACUAUAGAAUCUAAUCUGAGAAGAGAACUGAAGGACAUGAGUGUCACUGCAAAACCGUAAUGAGCCACUGUAGUGAUUAAAAAAGCUCUUGAGCCUUCUGAAAAUCCAGGCAGAAAUAGCGUCUAAUCAACUCUGAAUAUAGGAGGCGAGAUUGGGCUGGCGCGCUGCGCACGGCCCGCCGCGGCGCUGGGGGUGCGAGGUAAAGCCUGGCGGCCACGGUCUGUGGGUGCCAAUCGCCAGGCCACAAUCAGCCGAGUCCUCCGUGCACAAAGCAGUCGCCGCCUCUUGCCACGCACAAGGAGCCCAAUCACUUCGGUUGUGAAGAGCGGCUUCGGGCUUUCACCCACCUCUGAAGCCUGGCCAGAGGCCCCGUAUGGGUUCCUCGCUCCUGCCCUGGAAGGCAGGGAGGGUUUGGGUCUCUGGGACUGUCACACCUGGACACCCCUAGCGCCCCACCGGCCUGAGUCGGGGAGAGGGUCUGUGUUUCUCGGGAGCCCUGGCUCAUUACCAAAAUGUCACCUCCUCCAUGCAGCAUUCCCUGGCUGCUCCCAAGACACUGGCAACUCCCACCAAACUGUUGAACACACGAUGCUCCCCCCCUCACCCCUGCUUUGUUUUCCUUCAUAGCACUUAGCUCUGCCUGGCAUUGUUAUCCAUCUGUUUAAAACCAUCCGCCUCUUCUAGUAGACUGUGAGCUCUGUGAGGGCAAGGACUUUUCUGGAGUUUGUUCGCCACUCUGGAAUGUGGAGAAGUGGGCUUGACCCUCAGUAGAUGCUCCUGAAGUCAGUUCAGUGGGCAGCCAAACGUGUGUACUCAGUCUCUCCACAAAUACUUGUUGCCUGCACAGUGCGUGAUGAGUAAGGCAGUCCCGCCCUCUGGCGCUCCCAGUCGGGGCAGAAGGCACACACUGAAGACGUUUACCUAUAACCAAAUGGGACCCCGGGGGGGCUGGUUCCGUCCAGUGGCUGGAGGAACAGCAGACGGUUCCCAGCUGGGGGAGGGCAGGGAAGGCUGCCAGGAAGCAGGGAAAUGAGGUGGCAAUCUUAAGGAUGGACAGGGAUCUUAAGGAUGGACAGGAGCGAUCCAGGCAGGGCUGGGUCUGGAGUGCCCCCCACAGAGGGAAUGGCAUGUGCAGUCCCCAGAGUGACCAGCAUCUGCGGGGACCCAAAGGAGGUGAGAGCCAGAGCCGGCUGGAGCCAGAGCAAGGGAGAGCCCGGUGGGAGAUGGGGCUGGAAAUACGGACCAAGUCGCACCUCGCAAUUAAGAGCCUGCUGGGGUUUUUUCCUGGAGAGGACCCGGAGCCUGUGGCAGGGAGCAGCAUGACUUGCAUUUUGUCACCGUAUGGAGAACGGGUCAGGGCGCAGCUCUGAAGGAACACACCUGGGCGAGGGGCUGUUCACAUACCCUGGCGAUGCAAGAUCCCGGGGGGCCUCUGAGCAAGGCCAGGUCAUGCCAAAAGCUGUUUUAAGAUGAUGAAUCUGACAGCAAAAUACGGAGCAGAAGAAGGGACCCCCGGUGGGAGGCAAAUUCAUUAUCAUUCAUUCAUUCAUUCAUGCAAGCAUUCAUUCAUUCAGCCUUCCAGCCCUUCCCCAUGUGCUAAUCUACAGUUUCCAAACUGCUCUGCGUUUGCCUACCAGGUGACCGAUUAUUAAAACGGUUCUAAAGCUGGAGUCAGUAGCUUCUGAGAAUCGGAGGGAUUCUGUACCUCAUAAGGCUGCUUUUUUUGGCCUGGACUUCCUGACAUCAAAAAGGCCUUGUGAGUCAUUGGCCUUCUUUAGGCCUUAAACUCAUCAGUACAAAGAGAGAGCCUCUCAAGAUGAUCUCUUGGUUCCCUCCCUGUUCCCCAAAGUCUGCAGCUCUAGGUCCCCUGAAGGCACUCCAAGAGGACAAAGUCCAGUGGAAUGAAGGUCCUGAGGUGAGGUCUGCCCUGCUUUAUGGGAGCCAGGGGAGCUCCCGGCCCAGCCCUGCCACUCACUUGUUCUGCUGUGAAUGACUGUGCUAGUCCCUCUCUGUGCCUUGGUCUCUGCCCAGCUGCUGCCUCCUUCCCGGGGGUGGAGGGGGGCAGGGUUUAGACUGGCACACAAGGCUCCUUCUGGGCUGCUGCCCACACUAGACCCCCCCCCCCUUACAAUGGAAUUCCAGGAAACUACCCUUCAAAAACAAACAAACGGGGGGAGGGAGGAAGUUGCAUAGGGAGAGCUAUGCAUCCCCAGUGCCCACACCAGAGACACACACCCCCACCUCACAGGUCAAGCUGGAGUCCCAGUUCCAACACUCAGGGCCAUCCUGUGACCUCGAGCAAGUCAUUUAGACUCUCUGAGUCCUCAUCGGUAACACAGCGGGUCUGAGAAUCAAGUUAGGCCCUGUAGCUCGGGGCAGAGCACGGACUAAGUGCUCAGGAGGUGGGGUUGGGGUUAGAGUUGGGCCACGCCUGCCUGGAUGGCGGAGCAAGACUCCUCCAUCUUCCUCCUUCGGCCUCUGCUACAGCUGGGACUCACUGGGGGUCAGCGGAAUUCAGGGAUUCUUUUAACAGGUGGAUUUGGUAGGAGGAGCCAAACACCUGGGCCUCACUAGAGAGGGGAGAGAUGGGACGCCCCCUCACCCCAGCUUUAGGCUUUGUAGCAAUGGUGCCCCCCAACACUAGCUAGGAUCAGGGGAUUUCCUGGUCACAGCAAACAAGACCUCCCAAACCUUUUUUAAUAGAAGCUACCACCCCCUAGAUCCCCAUUCUAGAAGGAAUGCUUUGACUUUCAGGAACCCACUCCUCUCUCCCUAAAAUUGAUUAUGGAUAUUAGAUCUAAGAAGUCAUCAGAGCCUUGGUGGUUUGCCUCCUCAGGUGGUAGAUGGGAGAGCUAAGUCCAGUCUCACAGACAUCCCUGGGAGCUGCCUCUGUGCUGGUCCUAUACUGGAAGUCCCUGUCCCCCAGGGCUCCUAUCCAAUGGGGAAGACAGUCCAUGAACAUCACCAAAGGCAACACAAGACGGAAAGUGCUUUGAGCCCUGAGAGACUGAGACCAGGGAAAAGGGAGACCACCUCUGACUGAUAAGUAGAUUCCCGGAAGGCUUCCUGUAGGAAGUGGCAUUGAGCUGGGUCUGAAGGAUAGCUAAGAUGUGUCUCUUUCUCUCUCUGGAGGAAAAAAAAAGAAAAAAUUGAAACAAAACGAGAAAACAAAGGAAUAACCACUUCUAUUUUCACAACCCCAAGUUAACACUUGGCCAAGUUUUCAUUUUGAUCCACAUACAUGAAAUGACUUUCUGGUAACUUUAAGUUCUUCCCCUUGUCCCCAGUGGCAAUUUCCAUUAUGAAUUUGGUAAAUAUCCCUUCACAACUCUGCCUCUAAAAAAAUUAAUUUAUAGUGCAAAAUAGGGUCAGGAAUAAUUUUUUUUUAAUUACUUCGUGUCAUUCCAGUUUACAUAAGGGGUGUCACACUGUCUCUGCGACUCUGUUUGCUUUUUCCACUGCCCGUUAUGUUUCGGGGGCUCUCUGGUUCAAACACAUGGCUGGGGCUCACCACGGCAUCCCACGGAUGCACCGUGCUUAUGUACUCCUGGACUGGGUCGGGUUUCCACGGAUCGAGGUCAUCCAGGGAGGCAUUUCAGGUAGAGGAAGCAGCGGCAGCAAAGGCUCAAGGAUGGGAAAAGUGGGGGGGCGCAUCUGGGGGGCUGGCAGGAGUCCAGGGUGGAGGGAGCACCAGACGUGUGUGGGGGUGCUGAGGGAGGCCUCAAGCCCCAGGCCAGGAAUCCACUGCUGGCAUGCUGGCCAUCUGGGAGUGUGGGGACAGACCCCCCCCUUAGAACCGCCCUCCACAAUAAUUCCACUUAUCCACCCUCCAAGUCCUCCCUAGGGAGGCCUCUGUUACUCUUUCCAUUAAUUGUCUCAUUAAUGACCCACUGAAGUCAAGUACCCAUUGUUCUCUGGGCCUGGGGCAGCCUCCCCGGCUUUCUACCCUGGGGGAUUUGUAAACGUCUUUCCUUCCCCGCUUUCCUUUGGCAGGCGUCCUUAUCUGGUCCCUGCAGCCCUGGCCCAGGCUGCUGCUGCCCCUUCCUCCACCCACACCCUGCCCACGGCCCCGCCGCGG